GACGACCGCUGGCGGCGUGCCUACUACAUGCAAGUCGAACGCAGUGGGGACGGGUGAGUAACACGUGGGUAACCUCCCAUCAGAGGGGAUAACACUUGGAAACAGGUGCUAAACCGCUACUGAUGGAUGGACCCGCGGUGAAUUAGCUAGUUGGUGAGGUAACGGCUCACCAAGGCCACGAUGCAUAGGUGUACUGAGAGGGUGAGCGGCCACACGGGGACUGAGACACGGCCCAGACGCCGACGGGAGGCAGCAGUAGGGAAUCUUCGGCAAUGGACGAAAGGCUGACCGAGCAACGCCGCGUGAGUGAAGAGGGCUUUCGGAUCGUAAAACACUUUUGUUAGAGAAGCGGUAUCUAACCAGAAAGCAACGGCUAACUCCGUGCCAGCAGCCGCGGUAAUAC
rnacentral:rRNA from 1 species